CUCUUCUGAGGAAACUAAACUGAUCUGAGUCUCUGUGUCGUCUGUCUGUGAGAGAGUGAACAACCGUCCAAAUGGCUCAGCAGGGAGUUCUGCUGGACCAGGACCAGUUCUGUUGUUCUGUCUGUCUGGAUCUACUGAAGGAGCCGGUCACUACUAUCUGUGGACACAGUUACUGUAGGAGCUGUAUUGAGGGCUGCUGGGACCAGGAUGUUCUGAAAGGGGUCUAUAGCUGUCCUCAGUGCAGAGAGACCUUCACUCCAAGGCCUAAUCUGAGGAAAAAUAACAUGUUGGCUGAGCUGGUUGAGAAACUGAGGAAGACAGGACUCCAGGCUGCUCCCCCUCCUGCUCUGUGCUAUGCUGGACCUGGAGAUGUGGUGUGUGAUGUCUGCACUGGGACCAGAAAGCAGAAAGCCCUCAUGUCCUGUCUGGCGUGUCUGGCCUCUUACUGUGAGACUCACCUCCAACCUCAUUAUGAAUCUCCUGCUUUGAAGAAGCACAAGCUGGUCAAAGCCACCGCACAGCUACAGGAGAAGAUCUGCUCUCAUCAUGACAAACUGCUGGAGGUUUACUGUCGUACCGAUCAGCAGUGUAUCUGUUAUCAGUGUGUGAUGGAUGAACAUAAAGGCCAUGAUACAGUGUCAGCUGCAGCAGAGAGGACUGAGAAACAGAGGCAGCUGGGGAUGAGUCAGCAGAAGGUCCAGCAGAGAUUCCAGGAGAGAGAGAAGAAGCUGAAGGAGCUCCAACAGGCUGUGGAGUCUUUCAAGGAGGGAGGAGAGUAGAGCAGGACCAAGAGGUGUUCUGUACCUGUCUGUCCAGGAGGGAGGAGAGUAGAGCAGGACCAAGAGGUGUUCUGUACCUGUCUGUCCAGGAGGGAGGAGAGUAGAGGAGGACCAAGAGGUGUUCUGUACCUGUCUGUCCAGGAGGGAGGAGAGUAGAGGAGGACCAAGAGGUGUUCUGUACCUGUCUGUCCAGGAGGGAGGAGAGUAGAGCAGGACCAAGAGGUGUUCUGUACCUGUCUGUCCAGGAGGGAGGAGAGUAGAGCAGGACCAAGAGGUGUUCUGUACCUGUCUGUCCAGGAGGGAGGAGAGUAGAGCAGGACCAAGAGGUGUUCUGUACCUGUCUGUCCAGGAGGGAGGAGAGUAGAGCAGGACCAAGAGGUGUUCUGUACCUGUCUGUCCAGGAGGGAGGAGAGUAGAGCAGGACCAAGAGGUGUUCUGUACCUGUCUGUCCAGGAGGGAGGAGAGUAGAGCAGGACCAAGAGGUGUUCUGUACCUGUCUGUCCAGGAGGGAGGAGAGUAGAGGAGGACCAAGAGGUGUUCUGUACCUGUCUGUCCAGGAGGGAGGAGAGUAGAGCAGGACCAAGAGGUGUUCUGUACCUGUCUGUCCAGGAGGGAGGAGAGUAGAGCAGGACCAAGAGGUGUUCUGUACCUGUCUGUCCAGGAGGGAGGAGAGUAGAGCAGGACCAAGAGGUGUUCUGUACCUGUCUGUCCAGGAGGGAGGAGAGUAGAGCAGGACCAAGAGGUGUUCUGUACCUGUCUGUCCAGGAGGGGGGACAAUGCCUGUAAAAUUAACAGUAAACAUUACACAUAGAGAAGUUUCAAAACAAUAAAGACAUUACAAAUGUCAUAUUAUCUAUACAGUGUUUUAACAAUGUACAAAUGGUUAAAGGACACAAGAUAAAAUAAAUAAGCAUAAAUAUGGGUUGUAUUUACAAUGGUGUGUGUUCUUCAUUGGUUGCCCUUUUCUCAUGGCAACAGGUCACAAAUCUUGCUGCUGUGACGUCACACUGUGGAAUUUCACCCAGUAGAUAUGGGAGUUUUUCAAAAUUGGAUUUGUUUUUCGAAUUCUUUGUGGAUCUGUGUAAUCUGAGAGAAAUAUGUCUCUCUAAUAUGGUCAUACAUUGGGCAGGAGGUUAGGAAGUGCAGCUCAGUUUCCACCUCAUUUUGUGGGCAGUGAGCACAUAGCCUGUCUUCUCUUGAGAGCCAUGUCUGCCUACGGCGGCCUUUCUCAAUAGCAAGGCUAUGCUCACUGAGUCUGUACAUAGUCAAAGCUUUCCUUAAUUCCUCUCUCUCUGUCUCUCUCUCUCUCUCUCUCUGUCUCUCUCUCUGUCUCUCUCUCUGUCUCUCUCUCUGUCUCUCUCUCUCUCUCUCUCU